UACGUAGGGAGCAAGCGUUGUCCGGAAUCAUUGGGCGUAAAGCGCGCGUAGGUGGCUUCGUAAGUCCGUUGUGAAAGUCAAAGGCUCAACCUUUGAAAGCCGAUGGAUACUGCGGAGCUAGAGUACGGAAGAGGCGAGUGGAAUUCCUGGUGUAGCGGUGGAAUGCGCAGAUAUCAGGAGGAACACCAUAAGCGAAGGCAGCUCGCUGGGACGUUACUGA
rnacentral:rRNA from 1 species